AUGCCCCGGUGAGGAGUUGUGAGCGGCUGGCGAUGGUCGGCGUACGGCGAGGCAGAGGGAGGCCUAAGAGGUAUUGGGGAGAGUAAGGGUGUCUUCUGGCCCGGACCUGGGCCUAAACGGGCCUGACUGGCUGGGCUUCGCAGUCCCGGGCUUCGUAGGACUGGCCUAGCGGUCCCGGGCCUGGCGGUCCUGGUGGUUGAGACCGGCCCGUGACGGGCCUAAGCCCACAGUGAUCCUAGGCCUGGCGGGCCUAACAGGCCUGGCGGUUUUGUUUUAAGGCAAUAUCUUG
rnacentral:lncRNA from 1 species